rnacentral:tRNA from 1 species
UGGGUCGAUGCCCGAGCGGUUAAUGGGGACGGACUGUAAAUUCGUUGACGAUAUGUCUACGCUGGUUCAAAUCCAGCUCGGCCC